UAACAAGGAUUCCCCUAGUAACGGCGAGCGAAGCGGGAAGAGCUCAAAUUUGAAAGCUGGCGUCUUCGGCGUCCGCGUUGUAAUCUCGAGACGUGUUUUCCGUGCGGCUCUAUGGACAAGUCCCUUGGAACAGGGCAUCGUAGAGGGUGAAAAUCCCGUACUUGCCAUGGAAGUACCGUGCUUUGUGAUACACGCUCCAAGAGUCGAGUAGUUUGGGAUUGCUGCUCAAAGUGGGUGGUAGACUCCAUCUAAAGCUAAAUAUCGGGGAGAGACCGAUAGCGAACAAGUACCGUGAGGGAAAGAUGAAAAGCACUUUGGAAAGAGAGUUAAAAGUACGUGAAAUUGUCGAAAGGGAAGCACUUGAAGUCAGCCAUGCUGCUUGAGACUCAGCCUGGCUUUUGCUUGGUGUAUUUCUCGGUAGCAAGCCAGCAUUGGUUUGUGUCGUCGGAGAAGCGUAUGGGGAAUGUGGCAUCCUCGGAUGUGUUAUAGCCCUGUGCAGGAUACGACGACGUAGACCAAGGAACGCAGUGUGCCCUCUGGGCGGGUCUUCGGACACCUUCACACUUAGGAUGCUGGCGUAAUA
rnacentral:rRNA from 1 species